GCGCCCCCGGCGAUAAGGUUGCCAAGUGAGGUGGUCUUCCUCUCUGAGGAUAGCCGGGGGUGUUUUA
rnacentral:sRNA from 12 species